UCAUUCUUUCGAAGAGUUGAAGAAGGAAGCAGAGAGAAGCUGGUGAUUCUUCUGAAAAUGAUUGACAAUGAAUCCCUUUCUGCGGGGAUGAUGAUGAAGUGUUGGGAAUAUUUGCAGAGAAUUCCUAGAGAGGAUAAAGAUGUUGUGAUGGUUGUUGAUUGAAGGUUGACGAUGAAGAAGGAAAGUGAAGAUUGAAGGUGGAGGUUG